UACGUAGGGUGCAAGCGUUGUCCGGAAUUAUUGGGCGUAAAGAGCUCGUAGGCGGUUUGUUGCGUCGGCUGUGAAAUCCCGAGGCUCAACCUCGGGUCUGCAGUCGAUACGAGCAAACUAGAGUGUUGCAGGGGAGACUGGAAUUCCUUGUGUAGCGGUGAAAUGCGCAGAUAUCAGGAGGAACACCGGUGGCGAAGGCGGGUCUCUGGGCAACAACUGACGCUGAGGAGCGAAAGCGUGGGGAGCGAACAGG
rnacentral:rRNA from 1 species